CCAAUGCCUAUGAUGGUUUUUAAAUAUACUUUGAGUAAGUUCACUAUGAAACGAAUUUAAUCUGAGGCUUUUG